rnacentral:rRNA from 1 species
ACGGGGUGCAGCAGGCGCGAAAACUUUACAAUGCUGGCAACAGCGAUAAGGGAACCUCGAGUGCCAGGUUACAAAUCUGGCUGUCGAGAUGCCUAAAAAGCAUUUCAUAGCAAGGGCCGGGCAAGACCGGUGCCAGCCGCCGCGGUAAUACCGGCGGCUCGAGUGGUAACCAUUUUUAUUGGGUUUAAAGGGUCUGUAGCCGGGCUGAUAAGUCCCUUGAGAAAUCCGACAGCUCAACUGUCGGGCUUUCAAGGGAUACUGUCUGGCUCGAGGCCGGGAGAGGUGAGAGGUACUUCGGGGUAGGGGUGAAAUCUUGUAAUCCUUGAGGGACCACCUGUGGCAAGGCGUCUCACCAGAACGGACCUGACGGCGAGGGACGAAAAGCUAGGGGCACCAAACCGGAUUAGAUACCCCGGGUAGUCCUAGCCGUAAAACGAUACUCGCUUAGGUGUCGGCCACGGUGCGACCGUUGUCGGUGCCGUAGGGAAGCCGUGAAGCGAGCCACCUGGGAAGUACGGCCGCAAGGCUGAAACUUAAAGGAAUUGGCGGGGGAGCAC